rnacentral:lncRNA from 1 species
CUUCUUACCCAUGAAAGAACCAGCUAGAACUCAUCCGUGUCAUGGGAAGUUCCAGGUGGGAGGGUAAAGAAAUGUUGCCUCUACCACUUGUCACAUUUGGACUUUUUCAAGGACAAGUGUCAGAAGCCAUAUUGAGUGUUUGAAGGGAGAGCGCAGACCUGGCCAGCAAGACCAAAGACGUCUUUACAGGAAACUUUCCUUUUCCUGUUCCUGGUUUCCUACAGUUUUAUAGCUGAGCUUUUGAGGUUUGGAAAAUUCAAGACUUUUGUUUCAUCAGGAAGAGGGAAGAAAGCAAGCAAGCCAACUGUAGGCCUAGACUAAACUGAUAAAGGUGUGACGGUGUGAGCGUCCUUGUUGCCUUGUGGACUGAAUGUUUCGCAUCGCUUUUACUACACUGAGAAACGAGCUGUCCUUUUCCUACUGAGUGUGGAGUCCUUUAGAGCUGACUCCUAAGACUACACUUGAGAACGGAUCGGUUAAAAAGUGACAUUUAAAAGUAAAUGCUAUUCAGCUUUUCAAUUCUGACCCCUCCAUUCAGACCUAUUAAACAGUACUGUCCUCUGGCAUAAGCACUCCACUUUGGUGCUAAGU